rnacentral:rRNA from 1 species
UACGGAGGGUGCAAGCGUUAUCCGGAUUCACUGGGUUUAAAGGGUGCGUAGGCGGGUAAGUAAGUCCGUGGUGAAAUCUCUGAGCUUAACUCAGAAACUGCCGUGGAUACUAUUUGCCUUGAAUAUUGUGGAGGUGAGCGGAAUAUGUCAUGUAGCGGUGAAAUGCUUAGAUAUGACAUAGAACACCAAUUGCGAAGGCAGCUCACUACACCAUCAUUGACGCUGAGGCACGAAAGCGUGGGGAUCAAACAGG